CGCGGCCAUUUUAAACCAUACGAAUGAACAGCGGUGUUCGCCUCUAUUUUCAUGGAACUAAAAUCGGACACAGUUUUGCGCGAACACCGCUGAAGCCGCCGACCUCCCUUCUUGUUCGGUGAAAGCACACGAAUGACCCGGUGUUCGGUAUUUUUGUGUGAAUGUCUUAUACCCCAGAUAGGAAUCCCAUGGAGCCCAUUCGUAUGAAACUGACUGUAAAGACUUUGGCUCCAU